AAAACAUUCAAAAUGAGGAACUUGCCCAAGCUCCCAUAAAUGGUGAGAGAUAGAACUGUGAUUUGAAAGUAUUUCACCCUGAUCUCAGAGCUCUUUUUCUUUUUCCAACAUAGCCAUGCAACUUCCUAAAAUAAUGAUGGCAUUUGAGGUAACCGUUGUAUUGAUGUCCAUGACCCAUUGAAAUAUUGAUGCAAAGGUUAGUGUUGGUGGGUAUGGAAAAAGCAAUGAAGGUAAUAUUGAUAUUGGGGAGGGUGAUGUGUAUGGCAUGAGUAUGCCUCUGAUAGUAGAGCUGGAGCCGUUUUCUAAGAUGACUUGUCCUUCUGUCAGUUGAGAUGGAAUGAUGGGGCUGGCUCAGACACCUUCUGUCAAGAACACAAGUUCUAACUUUUGGGUCUGGAAAGUCAAAUAUAUAUCUGAGGCAACUGAGGGAGAAAAGGAUGAGAGACGUGGGGUGAGGGGACUUAGGUCGAAAUUUAGUCGUUAGCAGAGAGUGCUUGGGCAGUGCAGACAGCAGGCUUAGAAGCACUUUCUCCACCCUGGGCAGUUUGCUCUUACAUCUAUCAUAUAUGUGCCAAUAAACUCUGCCGCUGUGCUUAAGUAUUGAUGCAAGGAAUGGUCAUUGUGCCUUUCUCCAAAGAAGACAUAUAGAUGAUCAAUAGGCAGAUGAAAAUAUGCUCAGUAUCACUAAUCAUUAGAGAAAUCCAAAUCAAAACUACAAUGAGGUAUCACUUCAUACCAAUCAGAGUGGCCAUUGUCAAAAAGUCUAUAAACAAAAAAUGCUAGAGAGGGUGUAGAGAAAGGAGAAUCCUACACUGUUGGAGGAAUGUAAAUUGGUACAGGCACUAUACAGAACAUUAUGGAGGAUCCUUAAAUAAAGCAACACAUAGAAUUACCAUAUGAUCCAGCAAUUCCACUCCUGGGCACAUAUCCAGAAGACUCUAAUUUGAAAAGAUAUGUGCACCCAAAUAUUCAUAGUAAUAUUUACAGUAGCCAAGACAUAUGUGUGUGCACACACACACACACACACACAAUAUGGAAUAAAACUCUGCCAUAAAAAAGAAUGAAAUAAUGGCAUUUGCAGCAACAUAGACGGACCUUGAGAUGAUCAUACUAAGUGUAGUAAGUCAUAGAAAGACAAAUAUUAUAUGAUAUCACUUAUAUGUGGAAUCUUAAAAAAGAUACAAAUGAACUUACCAAAAAAAAAAUCAUAGAUAUAGAAAACAGACUUAUUGUUACCAAAGAGGAAAGGGGUGGGGGAUUAAUUAGGAGUUUGAAAUGAGCGGAUACACACNNNUAUAUAUAAAAGAAACAAGGACCCACUGUACAGCAGAAGAAGCUAUAUUCAAUGUCUCAUAAUAACCUAUAAUGGAAAAGAUCUGAAAAAAGAAUAUAUAUAUAUAUGUAUCUGAAUUACUUUGCCAUAUUCUGGAAACUAGCAUAUUAUGUCAACUAUACUUUAACUUUUAGAAAGGUUAUUCUGAUCACUGAUUACGUUGGUCUAAAAUCUUGAAAUUAGACAUGCUUAGCAUGAUAUACGUAAAAGCUCUUAUCACUUGAAUGGGAUGUUUUGCUGUAAAUAAUUACGGGUGUACAGCUUGUACCAGGAACUGAUCAUUUUUAAAUAAAGUAUCCGCUUAAAUUCUAGAGUCACAGAACGGAGCAAAUAAAUUCCAGUUUGUAGUAGUUCUGCCAACGCAGAGCUCCCCAGGACCCCCCGACCCCCAGGAUCCCAACAUUCUGGCUAAAGCAAUAAAACAAUAAGUCUUUAUUACAGCAUGACCUGGAGAAGUUUAUGGAACAUAUUUUCUGAUGAAACAACAAUAUGAAAUAGAAAGCAUGAUGUCAUAGAGUUCAUGAAAUAAAAGUUCUUAUUUUAAUGAUGUCUAUCAUCAUUUCAAACCUGCAUAAAGUUGAAAUAAACACUCUGAACACUGGUAUAUAAGAAUUAAUAACUCAAAAUAUGAGGAAGUAGAGAUGACCAGAUGAUUUAGUUGUGUCCCAACCAAGAUGUCCUAAUUUCAAAACUAUUUGUGUNNNNNNNNNNNNNNNUACUCAUUCUAUUUAAGAGUGGUUCUUUUCUAAAAAAGAAAAGUAAAAAUACAGCACAUACACCCAAAUUGUAGACCGAAAAUAGAAGAUUAUUAGCAUUAUAAUUUAUGUAAAUGGUACUCUAUUCAUGUGAAAGUAAUUAGUAUCUUUCAGUCAUAUGUUAAUUAUUACAUAAAUAGGUUAUAAAUAAUCAUGUGAGAUUUCAUUUUUAAAGCUGAAACCCUACUUGUUUAAAGGGUCUACUGUUUUAUUAUGUAAAAUGUGAAAAGAAUGACUCAUAUAUGUUCUACUGCUUUAAACAUAAAAUUUUUUCCCAGGUUUCAGAACUAAAAAAAUAAAUAAAAUCUCUGUUUGGUAAUCUGAAAAUUGUGUUUAAGGUUUGGUAGACAUAAGGAUAUACUUAGGAUCUAGAGUGAUAAUUUCCAGUCUUAUUGUAAUUUAUUGAAUAUGCCUGUCUUGGUGGCAGUCCUUGGGAAUGUAGGGAUUUAGAAUAGGCCUCCUCAAUGUGUGAUAUUUUGACACGUGGAUUAUUGUUAGCUGAAGGUAAGUGAAAACCUUGUGGACUCUAGAGAAAACAACUGCAUCUCCCUUAACUACCUAAAAGAAUUUAAACUGGAGAUUUUUUCCCACAAAAAGUGUAUUAUUGCUCAGUCGCUAAAUCGUGUGUGACCGCAUGGAUGCCAGGCUCCCCUGUCCUCCACUCUCU
ensembl:lncRNA